rnacentral:lncRNA from 1 species
CAACUUGUAGACUCAACUGCCCUGUGACCAUUCAUUGACCAUGAAAUAUUUUCUGCCUUAGUGUCUAUUGCAGAAACAGAAUCGAUUCUUAUCCUGCGAGGCGUGUGUGUUAAUGUCACCACUUUCAGUAAAAUCCAAAUCAUCUAUGUCCCAGUCCUCGAGUCUGGAAGCAAAGGACUCCAACACGUGAAGUUCCCACUCGUUGAUAGCCUGAGUCCCUGAGUCACCACUUGGAAGAGAGCUGUUUACAUGGACCGCCAGAUCCACACCGCAACGGUAAAACUUUUAGUUCUGUAAGCCACUGGGGCGGUGGGCUUGUUACUGAAACAUACCUGGUCUACCCUGACUGAUAACAACCAGUUUUUAUCUAACAAUAGGCCAUGUCUCCGUCUGUGUGUAGAGGAGUACCACCGGGAUUUAAAUGCAUGACUGCAUGGAGAGCACUAUAAAAGUGCAUCAAAAAAACGAAGAAGAAGAUCUCACUUUUUCCCCAUGGAUAUCACAAAUUCAAAAUAUUUAGCAAGAUAUUAUGAUUUCACUGCGAAAACCCACUCUGGUAAGUACUGACCAUUUCCUGACUUUGAAAGGAGUCUACAGGACAUACUAGAAUUUUGAUUACGUUAUAAAAUUGGUAAUCUUUCACAUCAUAAUA